CGUAGGUGAACCUGCGGAGGGAUCAUUACUGAGUUUACGCUCUAUAACCCUUUGUGAACAUACCUAUAACUGUUGCUUCGGCGGGUAGGGUCUCCGUGACCCUCCCGGCCUCCCGCCCCCGGGCGGGUCGGCGCCCGCCGGAGGAUAACCAAACUCUGAUUUAACGACGUUUCUUCUGAGUGGUACAAGCAAAUAAUCAAAACUUUUAACAACGGAUCUCUUGGUUCUGGCAUCGAUGAAGAACGCAGCGAAAUGCGAUAAGUAAUGUGAAUUGCAGAAUUCAGUGAAUCAUCGAAUCUUUGAACGCACAUUGCGCCCGCCAGCAUUCUGGCGGGCAUGCCUGUUCGAGCGUCAUUUCAACCCUCAAGCUCUGCUUGGUGUUGGGGCCCUACAGCUGAUGUAGGCCCUCAAAGGUAGUGGCGGACCCUCCCGGAGCCUCCUUUGCGUAGUAACUUUACGUCUCGCACUGGGAUCCGGAGGGACUCUUGCCGUAAAACCCCCAAUUUUCCAAAGGUUGACCUCGGAUCAGGUAGGAAUACCCGCUGAACUUAAGCAUAUCAAUAAGCGGAGGAA
rnacentral:rRNA from 1 species